UGUUGUUGUCUCAACAACCAACCAAUGUUUCAGCAGCCUGAGAGAGACGCUUACGCGGUUGCCAUCUAAAACUUCAUGACCUGAGAGAAGUGCUGCUUUUGCAGUGGUCGAUCCGCUCAACCUCUUAAUGCGGAUAUCACCUGUGUGAUGAGGUUCUU
rfam:Erwinia billingiae strain Eb661 complete chromosome.